rnacentral:rRNA from 1 species
UGGGGAAUAUUGGACAAUGGACCAAAAGUCUGAUCCAGCAAUUCUGUGUGCACGAUGAAGUUUUUCGGAAUGUAAAGUGCUUUCAGUUGGGAAGAAGAAAGUGACGGUACCAACAGAAGAAGCGACGGCUAAAUACGUGCCAGCAGCCGCGGUAAUACGUAUGUCGCAAGCGUUAUCCGGAUUUAUUGGGCGUAAAGCGCGUCUAGGCGGUUUGGUACGUCUGAUGUGAAAAUGCGGGGCUCAACUCCGUAUUGCGUUGGAAACUGCCAAACUAGAGUACUGGAGAGGUAGGCGGAACUACAAGUGUAGAGGUGAAAUUCGUAGAUAUUUGUAGGAAUGCCGAUGGGGAAGCCAGCCUACUGGACAGAUACUGACGCUAAAGCGCGAAAGCGUGGGUAGCAAACAGGAUUAGAUACCCUGGUAGUCCACGCCGUAACGAUGAUUACUAGGUGUUGGGGGUCGAACCUCAGCGCCCAAGCUAACGCGAUAAGUAAUCCGCCUGGGGAGUACGUACGCAAGUAUG